UACAGAGGGUGCGAGCGUUAAUCGGAAUUACUGGGCGUAAAGCGCACGUAGGCGGCCAACUAAGUCAGACGUGAAAUCCCAGGCUCAACCUGGGAACUGCGUCUGAUACUGGAUGGCUUGAAUCCGGGAGAGGAUGCAGAAUUCCAGGUGUAGCGGUGAAAUGCGUAGAUAUCCAGGAGGAACACCGGUGGCGAAGGCGGGUCUCUGGGCCGAAAUUGACGCUGAGGAGCGAAGCGUGGGAGCAACAGG
rnacentral:rRNA from 1 species